GACGUAGGGUGCGAGCGUUGUCCGGAUUUAUUGGGCGUAAAGAGCUCGUAGGCGGCUCGUCGCGUCGGCUGUGAAAACCCGCGGCUCAACCGUGUGGUCUGCAGUCGAUACGGGCAGGCUAGAGUUCGGUAGGGGAGACUGGAAUUCCUGGUGUAGCGGUGAAAUUCGUAGAUAUCGGGAGGAACACCAGUGGCGAAGGCGGGUCUCUGGACAGUUCCUGACACUGAGGCACGAAGGCCAGGGGAGCAAACGGG
rnacentral:rRNA from 1 species